AUGGCUUGCCCUGCCCAAUCCAUGCUCUCUGCAAGCAGCUGCAUGCUCCUCAGGAGCAGCAAGCCCCAGCAGGCCACGAUUCCGCGAGGAGGCAUCAACGGCGGCAACAGGUUCUUGACACUGUCCUGCAAUGCUUCUUCGUCUCCUGACGACUCCGAGUGCAACGACGUGGAGUGCGCCCCGGAGAAGGAGGUCGGGAGCCUGAGCGUGGAGUGGCUGGCGGAGGAGAGGACCAAGGUCGUGGGGACCUUCCCUCCCAAGAAGAAAGGAUGGACCGGCCUCGUCGAGAAGGACACCGCCGGCCAGACCAACAUCUACUCCAUCGAGCCGGCGGUGUACGUGGCGGAGAGCGCCAUCAGCUCCGGCACGGCGGGGACGUCGUCCGAUGGGUCUGAGAACACCGCGGCGCUCACGGGCGGGCUGGCCCUCAUCUUCAUCGCCGGGGCGGCCUCCAUCCUCAUCCAGGUGAGCAAGAACCAGCCGCCGGUGCAGACCACGGAAUACUCCGGCCCGCCUCUCAGCUACUACGUCGCCAAGUUCCAGCCGGCCGCCGCGGCAUUCCCGGUCCAGUCGAGCCCCCCUGUCGUGGAAGCGGCCGCGCCCGAGGAGACGCCUUCUGAUUCACCCACCUUAGAGGCGGAAACUUCGGCAACCGCGGAGCAGCCGUCGUCGUGA
rnacentral:rRNA from 1 species